AGAGUUUGAUCAUGGCUCAGAACGAACGCUGGCGGCGUGGAUAAGACAUGCAAGUCGGACGAGAUUUUCCGUUGUAGCAAUACGAUGGAAAGUCUAGUGGCGAACGGGUGCUUAACACGUGGGCAAUCUGUCUUAAAGUGGGGGAUAGCUCGGCGAAAGCCGAAUUAAUACCGCAUGUGAUUAGAGUGGACAUCCAUUCAAAAUUAAAGGUGGCGCAAGCUACCGCUUUUUGAGGAGCCCGCGGCCUAUCAGCUUGUUGGUGAGGUAACGGCUCACCAAGGCUUUGACGGGUAGCUGGUCUGAGAGGACGACCAGCCACACUGGGACUGAGACACGGCCCAGACACCUACGGGUGGCAGCAGUCGAGAAUUUUUCUCAAUGGGGGAAACCCUGAAGGAGCGACGCCGCGUGGAGGAUGAAGGUCUUCGGAUUGUAAACUCCUGUCAUUGGGGAACAAGUCGCUUACGUUAACUGCGUGAGCGUUGAUAGUACCCGAAGAGGAAGAGACGGCUAACUCUGUGCCAGCAGCCGCGGUAAUACAGAGGUCUCAAGCGUUGUUCGGAUUCAUUGGGCGUAAAGGGUGCGUAGGCGGCGCGGUAAGUCGGGUGUGAAAUCUUGGAGCUUAACUCCGAAACUGCAUUCGAUACUGCCGUGCUUGAGGACUGGAGAGGAGACUGGAAUUUACGGUGUAGCGGUGAAAUGCGUAGAUAUCAGGAGGAACCCGGUGGUGUAGACGGCUCUCUGGACCGUAACUGACGCUGAAACACGAAAGCGUGGGUAGCAAACAGGAUUAGAUACCCUAGUAGUCC
rnacentral:rRNA from 1 species